rnacentral:rRNA from 1 species
UGUACAAGUUCAUGCCCCUUGAAACUGGGCGAAACCGCGAAUGGCUCAUUAAAACAGUCAUAAUCUAUUUGAUAUUGAAAGUUACAUGGAUAACUGUGGUAAUUCUAGAGCUAAUACAUGCACAAAAAAGGCAACUGUUGGGUAACUAACAGAAGCUUUGCGUUUAUUAGACUAAGACCAAUGAUUGGGGCAACCCAAUCUCUUUUAUGGUGACUCUGAAUAAAUAAUGGGUGAAAGCCCAUGAUGCUGACCCUCGCAAAGGCCUUACGGCUGAGGGCAAAUCAUUCGAGUGUCUGCUCUAUCAACUGUGGAUGGUAGGAUAUAUGCCUACCAUGGUGGUAACGGGUAACGGGGAGUUAGGGCUCGACUCCGGAGAACAAGCCUGAGAAACGGCUAGUAGGACUAAGGUCUGCAGCAGGCGCGAAACUUACACAAUGGGAGCACAUCCCUGAUGUAGUGAAGGAAAAUAACGAUGUAUCUCUCAAUACUGAGUGAUACAAUUGGAAUGAGACGACUGUAAAUAUGUUAGUCGAGUAACAAAUGGAGGGCAAGUCUGGUGCCAGCAGCCGCGGUAAUUCCAGCUCCAUUAGCGUAUAUUAAAGUUGUUGCGGUUAAAAAGCUCGUAGUUGAAAUUAGCUUGGUUUUUCAUCACUCGUUUCCGUUCUAACGGCCUCUGUUUAAUACACAGUGUGCCUAGGUUGCGUAGUGGACGUAAAGCCAAUGUUUCGUCACUUUACACGAGUGCGAAGCGGGGCGUUGUAUAGCGGAAACUUGUUUCCUGCUUAUAGCGCCAAGUUUACCUUGAGAAAAUUAGAGUGCUCACAGCAGGCAGUUGGGGUGUAAAAGCCCUUUAAUGCUUGAAUAAUGUUGCAUGGAAUAAUAGAAUACGGCCUCGGUUCUAUUCUGUUGGUCUUAUAGAACAACAAAAAAGUUGGUAUUUGCACCAAAGCUUGUUUUAAUGUUGGUUCGUUUAUUUUAUCUGGUUUCUUGUUUAUGUUGCCUAGAUGUAACAGUUUAGUGCCAUGGCAAGUCUAGUUUGAAGUAUCGUUCUAUUAAAGGCAUUUUUACAAGUAAGCAAUUCGCCAACUGAGGCAAUGGUUAAAAGAAAUAGUCGCGGCGACAUCAGUACUGCAUCGCUAGAGGUGAAAUUCUUAGACCGAUGCAAGACUAACUGAAGCGAAAGCGUUUGUCGAGGAUGUUUUCAUUAAUCAAGAACGAAAGUUAGAGGUUCGAAGGCGAUCAGAUACCGCCCUAGUUCUAACCAUAAACGUUGCCAACUAGCAAUUGGCCUGAAUUCUAUUUUUAUAAAUUGAAUGAUUCGGCCAGCGGCUCUAGGGAAACCAAAGUCUUUGGGUUCCGGGGGAAGUAUGAUUGCAAAGUUGAAACUUAAAGGAAUUGACGGAAGGGCACCACCAGGAGUGGAGCCUGCGGCUUAAUUUGACUCAACACGGGGAAACUUACUAGAUUAGAACACAGGAAUGAUUGACAGAUUGAGAGCUCUUUCUUGAUUCUGUGAGUGGUGGUGCAUGGCCGUUCUUGAUUCGUAGAUUGAUUCGUCUGCUUAAUUGCGAUAACGAGUGAGACCUCACUUUACUAACUAGUCGUUUGGUGCAUCUUUAACGCUAAAGUCUUGCUUAUGCUGGCAUAGGGUUUAUCUUUGUGUUAGUAUAGGUUAAGAUGUUUUUGACUCGCCAACGGACUUCUUAGAAAGAUAAACGGUGUUUUAGCCGUAAGAAAUGAG